rnacentral:lncRNA from 1 species
GCUGGGUCUAUGGACCGCGUGGAUAUUUUUCAUAUGUUUCUCGCGGUACAUGAUACUAUUUCAUGGAUCGAAACACGAUCGAAUGACGUGGGUGGCUCCCGAUCUUGAUCCGACAGUCCAGGGGGUUAUUUGGUUUUGUUUAGGAUUCCUAAUUCUUCUCUAAUCAGGUUUAAGCCCUUUAAAUAGGGCUGAUCGGUGAAACAGAGAGUAGGUGGUCUUCUAGUUUUGCCGCAAACUGUACAGAGUCGUACAGAACUUGAGAGAAGAG